AUUGAACGCUGGCGGCAUGCUUUACACAUGCAAGUCGAACGGUAACAGGUCUUCGGAUGCUGACGAGUGGCGAACGGGUGAGUAAUGCAUCGGAACGUGCCCAGUCGUGGGGGAUAUCGCAGCGAAAGCUGUGCUAAUACCGCAUACGAUCUAUGGAUGAAAGCGGGGGACCGUAAGGCCUCGCGCGAUUGGAGCGGCCGAUGUCAGAUUAGCUAGUUGGUGGGGUAAAGGCCCACCAAGGCGACGAUCUGUAGCUGGUCUGAGAGGACGACCAGCCACACUGGGACUGAGACACGGCCCAGACUCCUACGGGAGGCAGCAGUGGGGAAUUUUGGACAAUGGGCGCAAGCCUGAUCCAGCAAUGCCGCGUGCAGGAAGAAGGCCUUCGGGUUGUAAACUGCUUUUGUACGGAACGAAACGGUCUGGGUUAAUACCCUGGGCUAAUGACGGUACCGUAGAAUAAGCACCGGCUAACUACGUGCCAGCCGCCGCCGUAA
rnacentral:rRNA from 1 species